rnacentral:misc_RNA from 1 species
ACGAACUGGACCUAUCAGUCCCGGCAGUGGUGGUAGUGUUUUUGUUUCCCGAUUACAUCCUCGGGCUCGUUGACUCGUUACCGCGCACGUUGUGCGGUGAAGAAGAAGAACAAAACGGCCGUCCAGUCGUUUCGAGUUUUGGUCCAGUGACGGGUCAUGGGGGACGCAGAGGAGGAGGUGGAGAAGCCUUUCGCGGUGGAGAAAGCCAAAACUGGGCGAGCGAAAUGCAAGAAGUGCAAAUGUCCGAUCCAGAAAGACGUCAUAAGGAUAGCCAAACUGAUGUCCAACCCCUUUGGGGAGGGAAAAAUGAAGAGCUGGCACCACGUCGCCUGCCUCUUCGAGGUGUUUGCCAAGCAGAGGGCCUCUACGAAGAGGAUAGACGACCCCGAAGAGGACGUCUCCGGAUGGAACGACUUGAACGACGAGGACAAAAACGUCAUCCUACAGAAGCUUGAGGACUUCGAGAAGUCUGCUCCCUACAACAUGGCGAAGGGAAAGACGCCCAAGAAACAAGUAAAAGACUGCAAUAAAACUAAAGAUGCAUCGUCCAUUAAACCGAAGAAAGCUUCUCCGAAAAAUCUGGCCAAAGCUUCGCCCAAGAAAAAAUUGAAUUUCGCUUCGAACGAAAUUUCAAACGAGCUCGAAAACAGUUCCUCAAAACCUGGUACUUCCGGAAUCUCGAAGGAAUCGGAAGAAGAGUCUUCGAGAGACAACUCCUUCAGGGAAUUUCGACGAAUCUGUUCCCAAAUCGCUGCAGAGAGUGCUUACACUGGAAAAACCGCAAUUUUGAAAACGUUCUUCACGAAGGGCAGCGAAGCAGGUAAAUUUCAAGGCGACUCGUUGCUCUGGUGCAAGAUGCUCCUGCCCGGCGCGGUGAAGAGGAUCUACAACCUCCGGAGCAAACAGCUGAUCAAGCUCUUUGCCAGGAUCUUCGGUCGCGGCGAGGACGAGAUGCUGGACCACCUGGAUCUCGGGGACGUCGCGGAGACCGUCCGCGUCUUCUUCGAGAAGAGCUCCUCCGUGAAGCCCUCCUCGAGGAGUCGGCUCUCCCUUGCAGAGGUCGACGGGUUUCUCGAGGAGCUCUCGCAGCUGACGAAGGAGGAAGAGCAGACCUGCCACAUCGGGUCCAUCGUUGGCAGGUGCACGGCGAAUGAUUUGAAGAUGAUCGUCAGACUGAUCAAACACGAUUUGAGGAUUAACGCGGGACCUAAGCACGUCCUGGAAGCCAUUCACGAAGACGCCUACAAGGCUUUCCAGGUCUCCAGAGACCUGGAUGCCGUUAUCGAGCGUUGCCUAUCGGUCCCCGAAGACCCUUCCACCUCUGCGAGCCCUUCGCUUUCUCCUAAAGGCAGCAAAGUGGCUCUCGCCCUGAUGACUCCGGUUUUGCCGAUGCUCGCGGAGGCAUGCAAAUCCGUGGAAAUGGCCACGAGGAAGUGUCCGUCGGGGAUGUUCGCCGAGGUCAAGUACGACGGAGAACGCGUCCAGAUUCACAAACGAGGAAGCGACUUCCGGUACUUCAGCAGAUCCCUUAAACCGGUGUUAGCCCACAAGGUGAAUCACUUCAAGGAUUACAUACCAAAGGCCUUUCCCGAUGGAGACGAUUUAAUUUUGGAUACCGAAAUAUUGUUGAUAGACAACAAGACCGGAAAGCCAUUACCUUUUGGAACCCUUGGAAAACACAAGAAAGCUGAAUUCAAGGAUGCCAACGUGUGCCUCUUCAUUUUUGACUGCAUUUAUUAUAAUGGCGAUCUGUUGAUGGAAAAGCCAAUGAAGGAGAGGCGAAGGAUCCUGAUGGACAGGAUAACGGAAAUCCCUAACAGGAUAAUGCUUUCCGAGACUCGCGAAAUUCAAGAUCCGAAGCACUUGACGGAGUUUAUAGUAAAGGUUUUGAAGCUGGGCCUCGAAGGACUCGUUCUGAAAAACGUUGAUGGAAAAUACGAGCCCGGAAAGAGGCACUGGCUGAAGGUGAAGAAGGAUUAUCUUUGCGGGGGAGCGAUGGCCGAUAGUGCAGAUCUCGUUGUUCUUGGCGCUUGGUAUGGCACUGGACAUAAAGGAGGAAUGAUGUCUGUCUUCCUGAUGGGCUGCUACGAUACCGACAAAGACAUUUGGCUGACGGUAACGAAGGUCCACACCGGGCACGAUGACGCCACUUUGAAAAGUCUUCAGGAUCAACUGGACAUGGUGAAGAUCAGCAAGGAUCCAAACCUUGUCCCGAAAUGGCUGCGAGCGAACAAACCAAUGGUUCCGGAUUUCGUGGCAAGAGAUCCCAAGAAACAACCAGUGUGGGAGAUUACGGGGGCGGAAUUUACGAAUCAGGGUGUCCAUACUGCCGAUGGUAUCAGUAUUCGAUUUCCCAGAGUGACUCGAAUUCGAGAUGACAAGGAUUGGAAGACGGCGACGAAUUUAAAGGAGCUAAGGAUACUUUUCCAAAAAAGUUCAGAGUCCAUGGAUUUCAGCCUCUUUUUACGAUCUAACGACGGGACUCAAGAGAGCUCGAAGACCUUAUUAGGCAGUUUAAAGAAAUUCGAGGAUAAAAAAGAAAUCGACGAUCCGGGGCCUUCGACUUCGGGACUCGCGGUAAAAGAGGAGAUCCCCGAGGACGACGAGGACCGGAAGCCGUCUUUGGAGGAUCUUCGAUCUUCCCUCAAUAAGGAGGGUAAAAGCGUUCCCGGAAAAGAAGACAAAUGGUUCGGGGUGAAAGUCAAAAUUGAGCCGAAGGAGAUAAAGAAUGAGGGCGAGAGAAAAAGAAAAAUCGAUAGAGCCGAAUUAAAGGAAUCUAAAGCGAAGAGAAAACAAAAUUCUGUCCCGAAGCAGGAAAAGGACGAUGUCGAAAUGCUCGUCAAGAAGGAACCAUGGCACCAGGAAGGUGAAUUUUCAGAGGUACAUCGAGUACAGCUCGGCUGGAAGUCCCUUGAAUUGGGUCGAAGGCCGUAGACCACCUAAAGGGCUGCCACCCGAUGCGAAGCCUUUGUCGAGUCGAGACGAUUCGGAGCUCCGCUCCAAGACGAUUUUAAAUGACGUCCGAGUGAUUUUAAGCAGAGACAUUAGGAAGAGUCGAAGAAAAGAGCUCAAACGGACGCUUAAGAC